rnacentral:sRNA from 1 species
GCUCCCUCCCGCCGUCGGCUGACGUGGAGGGCUGGAGGUGGCGGCGGCGGCGGCGGCGGCUGCUGCUGCUGCCCGCGUCCGAGGCUCGCGGGCGGCGGGCCCGGACUUGUGCACCAUGGACAAUUUUGCUGAGGGAGAUUUCACUGUGGCGGAUUAUGCCUUGUUAGAAGAUUGCCCUCAUGUGGAUGAUUGUGUCUUUGCUGCUGAAUUUAUGACCAAUGAUUAUGUUCGUGUGACUCAGCUUUACUGUGAUGGGGUGAAUUUGACAUCUGCAGUAUAUGGUGUAGUAGACCAAUUUCUGUCCUGCAAGAUUAUUGUGAUGCCAUUAAAAUAAACAUCUUCUGGCCACUUCUGUUUCAACAUCAAAACAGUUCCGUAAUAUCACGAUUGCAUCCCUGUGUGGACGCCAACAAUUCACGUGCUUCUGAGAUAAAUUUGAAGAAACUACAACAUCUUGAGUUGAUGGAAGAUAUUGUGGAUUUGGCAAAGAAAGUUGCUAAUGAUUCAUUCCUUAUUGGAGGCUUAUUGAGAAUUGGUUGUAAAAUAGAAAAUAAAAUCUUGGCAAUGGAAGAAGCUCUGAAUUGGAUAAAAUAUGCAGGCGAUGUAACAAUUCUAACUAAAUUAGGAUCAAUUGACAAUUGUUGGCCUAUGUUAAGUAUUUUCUUUACUGAAUACAAGUACCACAUAACUAAAAUUGUAAUGGAAGACUGCAGUUUGCUUGAAGAACUUAAAACUCAAAGUUGUAUGGAUUGUAUAGAGCAAGGAGAACUAAUGAAAAUGAAAGGAAAUGAAGAGUUUUCCAAAGAAAGAUUUGAUAUAGCUAUUAUCUAUUACACCAGAGCCAUUGAAUAUAGACCUGAAAACUACCUUCUUUAUGGUAACCGAGCUCUUUGUUUUCUUCGUACUGGACAGUUUAGAAAUGCACUCGGUGAUGGAAAGAGAGCCACUAUUCUGAAGAACACUUGGCCAAAGGGUCAUUAUCGUUAUUGUGAUGCUCUUUCUAUGCUGGGGGAAUAUGACUGGGCCCUGCAAGCAAACAUAAAAGCUCAAAAACUCUGUAAAAAUGACCCUGAGGGAAUCAAGGAUCUAAUUCAGCAGCAUGUAAAGUUACAAAAACAAAUAGAAGACCUACAAGGUCGAACAGCAAAUAAGGAUCCAAUUAAAGCCUUUUAUGAAAACAGGGCCUACACACCUAGGAGUUUAUCAGCACCUAUAUUUACUACUUCACUUAACUUUGUGGAGAAGGAAAGAGAUUUCAGAAAAAUUAAUCACGAAAUGGCCAACGGUGGUAAUCAGAAUCUAAAGGCGGCGGAUGAGGCGUUGAAGGUAGAUGAUUGUGACUGUCAUCCUGAAUUUUCACCACCAUCAAGUCAGCCUCCAAAACAUAAAGGAAAACAAAAAUCUCGAAACAAUGAAUCAGAGAAGUUCAGUUCUAGUUCACCAUUGACUUUACCAGCAGAUUUGAAGAACAUCUUGGAGAAACAGUUUUCUAAAUCUUCCAGAGCUGAACACCAGGAUUUUGCUAAUAUAAUGAAAAUGCUGAGAAGCUUGAUUCAAGAUGGCUAUAUGGCCUUAUUGGAGCAGCGUUGCCGCAGCGCCGCACAGGCCUUUACAGAGUUGCUGAACGGUUUAGAUCCUCAAAAAAUAAAGCAAUUGAACCUGGCCAUGAUUAACUAUGUUUUGGUCGUCUAUGGACUUGCCAUUUCUCUCCUUGGAAUAGGACAGCCUGAGGAAUUAUCUGAAGCCGAAAACCAGUUUAAGAGGAUUAUUGAACACUACCCCAGUGAGGGCCUUGAUUGCUUGGCCUACUGUGGAAUUGGAAAAGUAUAUUUGAAAAAAAACAGAUUUCUAGAAGCUCUCAAUCACUUUGAGAAAGCAAGAACCUUGAUUUAUCGUCUUCCUGGAGUGUUAACUUGGCCCACGAGUAAUGUGAUUAUUGAAGAGUCUCAGCCACAAAAAAUAAAGAUGCUGUUAGAGAAAUUUGUUGAAGAAUGCAAGUUCCCUCCAGUGCCAGAUGCCAUUUGUUGCUAUCAGAAGUGCCAUGGAUAUUCUAAGAUCCAGAUAUACAUAACUGAUCCAGACUUUAAGGGUUUUAUACGCAUCAGCUGUUGCCAGUACUGUAAAAUAGAAUUUCACAUGAAUUGCUGGAAGAAGUUAAAAACUACAACCUUUAAUGAUAAAAUUGACAAGGAUUUUCUACAAGGAAUAUGUCUUACCCCUGACUGUGAAGGUGUCAUUUCUAAGAUUAUCAUCUUCAGCAGUGGUGGUCAAGUUAAAUGUGAAUUUGAACACAAGGUCAUAAAAGAAAAGGUUCCUCCAAGACCUAUUCUGAAACAGAAAUGUUCUAGCCUAGAGAAACUAAGACUGAAAGAAGACAAAAAAUUGAAGAGAAAGAUCCAAAAAAAAGAAGCAAAAAAGGUGGCACAAGAAAGAAUGGAGGAGGACUUAAGAGAAAGUAAUCGACCCAAAAAUGAAGAGCAGAAAGAAACUGUAGACAAUGUUCAGUGUUUUCAGUUCCUUGAUGACAGAAUUCUACAGUGUAUAAAGCAGUAUGCUGACAAGAUUAAAUCCGGCAUACAGAAUACAGCCACGCUUCUCAAAGAAUUGCUUUCUUGGAAAGUUUUGAGCACAGAAGACUAUACAACCUGUUUUUCUAGCAGAAAUUUUCUAAGUGAAGCAGUGGACUAUGUUAUUCGUCACUUGAUUCAAGAAAAUAACAGAGUAAAGACAAGAAUAUUUCUGCAUGUUUUGAGUGAGCUUAAAGAAGUGGAGCCCAAAUUAGCCGCCUGGAUCCAAAAACUUAAUAGCUUUGGCUUAGAUGCCACAGGAACUUUCUUUUCUCGUUAUGGAGCAUCUCUUAAACUGCUUGAUUUUAGUAUCAUGACUUUCCUCUGGAAUGAGAAAUAUGGUCACAAACUAGACUCUAUAGAAGGAAAGCAACUUGAUUAUUUCUCUGAGCCAGCAUCAUUGAAGGAAGCCCGUUGUUUAAUAUGGCUACUAGAAGAACACAGAGACAAGUUCCCAGCAUUGCAUAGUGCUUUAGAUGAAUUCUUUGAUAUAAUGGACAGCCGCUGUACGGUGUUAAGGAAACAAGAUAGUGGUGAAGCACCGUUUAGUUCAACCAAGGUGAAAAACAAAAGCAAGAAAAAGAAGCCAAAGGAUUCAAAGCCUAUGUUAGUUGGGUCUGGAACAACUUCAGUAACUCCAAAUAAUGAGAUCAUCACUUCAAGUGAAGACCAUAGCAAUCGAAAUUCAGAUUCUGCAGGCCCAUUUGCAGUGCCUGACCAUCUUCGGCAAGAUGUAGAAGAAUUUGAAGCUCUCUAUGACCAACACAGUAACGAAUAUGUUGUCCGCAAUAAGAAGCUAUGGGACAUGAACCCAAAACAAAAAUGUUCAACUCUGUAUGAUUACUUCUCUCAGUUUUUGGAGGAACAUGGUCCCUUGGACAUGAGUAACAAGAUGUUCUCUGCAGAAUAUGAGUUUUUCCCAGAAGAAACUCGACAGAUACUAGAAAAAGCAGGAGGUUUAAAACCUUUUCUCUUGGGAUGCCCUCGUUUUGUUGUGAUUGACAACUGUAUUGCACUGAAGAAGGUUGCAUCACGGCUCAAGAAAAAAAGGAAGAA